rnacentral:rRNA from 1 species
ACGAGUGGCGGACGGGUGAGUAACACGUAGGUAACCUACCCAGAAGCGGGGGACAACAUUUGGAAACAGAUGCUAAUACCGCAUAACAGCGUUGUUCGCAUGAACAACGCUUAAAAGAUGGCUUCUCGCUAUCACUUCUGGAUGGACCUGCGGUGCAUUAGCUUGUUGGUGGGGUAACGGCCUACCAAGGCGAUGAUGCAUAGCCGAGUUGAGAGACUGAUCGGCCACAAUGGGACUGAGACACGGCCCAUACUCCUACGGGAGGCAGCAGUAGGGAAUCUUCCACAAUGGGCGCAAGCCUGAUGGAGCAACACCGCGUGAGUGAAGAAGGGUUUCGGCUCGUAAAGCUCUGUUGUUAACGAAGAACACGUAUGAGAGUAACUGUUCAUACGUCGACGGUAUUUAACCAGAAAGUCACGGCUAACUACGUACCAGCAGCCGCGGUAAUACGUAGGUGGCAAGCGUUAUCCGGAUUUAUUGGGCGUAAAGAGAGUGCAGGCGGUUUUCUAAGUCUGAUGUGAAAGCCUUCGGCUUAACCGGAGAAGUGCAUCGGAAACUGGAUAACUUGAGUGCAGAAGAGGGUAGUGGAACUCCAUGUGUAGCGGUGGAAUGCGUAGAUAUAUGGAAGAACACCAGUGGCGAAGGCGGCUACCUGGUCUGCAACUGACGCUGAGACUCGAAAGCAUGGGUAGCGAACAGGAUUAGAUACCCUGGUAGUCCAUGCCGUAAACGAUGAGUGCUAGGUGUUGGAGGGUUUCCGCCCUUCAGUGCCGGAGCUAACGCAUUAAGCACUCCGCCUGGGGAGUACGACCGCAAGGUUGAAACUCAAAGGAAUUGACGGGGGCCCGCACAAGCGGUGGAGCAUGUGGUUUAAUUCGAAGCUACGCGAAGAACCUUACCAGGUCUUGACAUCUUGCGCCAACCCUAGAGAUAGGGCGUUUCCUUCGGGAACGCAAUGACAGGUGGUGCAUGGUCGUCGUCAGCUCGUGUCGUGAGAUGUUGGGUUAAGUCCCGCAACGAGCGCAACCCUUGUUACUAGUUGCCAGCAUUAAGUUGGGCACUCUAGUGAGACUGCCGGUGACAAACCGGAGGAAGGUGGGGACGACGUCAGAUCAUCAUGCCCCUUAUGACCUGGGCUACACACGUGCUACAAUGGACGGUACAACGAGUCGCGAACUCGCGAGGGUAAGCAAAUCUCUUAAAACCGUUCUCAGUUCGGACUGCAGGCUGCAACUCGCCUGCACGAAGUCGGAAUCGCUAGUAAUCGCGGAUCAGCAUGCCGCGGUGAAUACGUUCCCGGGCCUUGUACACACCGCCCGUCACACCAUGAGAGUUUGUAACACCCAAAGUCGGUGGGGUAACCUUUUAGGAGCCAGCCGCCUAAGGUGGGACAGAUGAUUAGGGUGAAGUCGUAACAAGGUAGCCGU